AUUGAACGCUGGCGGCGUGCCUAACACAUGCAAGUCGAGCGGUAACAGGUGUAGCAAUACAUGCUGACGAGCGGCGGACGGGUGAGUAACGCUUGGGAAUCUGCCUAUUAGUGGGGGACAACCCGGGGAAACUCGGGCUAAUACCGCAUACGCUCUACGGAGGAAAGCCGGGGACCGCAAGGCCUGGCGCUAAUAGAUGAGCCCAAGUCGGAUUAGCUAGUUGGUAGGGUAAUGGCCUACCAAGGCGACGAUCCGUAACUGGUCUGAGAGGACGACCAGUCACACCGGAACUGAGACACGGUCCGGACUCCUACGGGAGGCAGCAGUGGGGAAUAUUGGACAAUGGGCGAAAGCCUGAUCCAGCGACGCCGCGUGGGUGAAGAAGGCCUGCGGGUUGUAAAGCCCUUUCAGUGGGGAAGAAAAGCCUCGACCUAACACGUCGGGGUCUUGACGUAACCAUAGAAGAAGCACCGGCUAACUCUGUGCCAGCAGCCGCCGUAA
rnacentral:rRNA from 1 species